GGGGUCUUAGCUCAGUUGGUAGAGCGCUUCGUUCGCAUCGAAGAGGUCAGGGGUUCAAAUCCCCUAGGCUCCAC
rnacentral:tRNA from 2 species